rnacentral:rRNA from 1 species
AACCUUUACACUGCACGACAGUGCGAUAGGGGGACUCCGAGUGCGAGGGCAUACAGUCCUCGCUUUUCUGUACCGUAAGGUGGUACAGGAAUAAGUGCUGGGCAAGACCGGUGCCAGCCGCCGCGGUAAUACCGGCAGCACGAGUGAUGGCCGAUAUUAUUGGGCCUAAAGCGUCCGUAGCCGGCCAGACAAGUCCGUUGGGAAAUCGACGUGCCUAACACGUCGGCGUCCAGCGGAAACUGUCUGGCUUGGGGCCGGAAGACUCGAGGGGUACGUCCGGGGUAGGAGUGAAAUCCCGUAAUCCUGGACGGACCGCCGAUGGCGAAAGCACCUCGAGAGGACGGACCCGACGGUGAGGGACGAAAGCUAGGGUCUCGAACCGGAUUAGAUACCCGGGUAGUCCUAGCCGUAAACAAUGCUCGCUAGGUGUGGCGCAGGCUACGAGCCUGCGCUGUGCCGUAGGGAAGCCGUGAAGCGAGCCGCCUGGGAAGUACGUCCGCAAGGAUGAAACUUAA